UCAUCAUGAGAGUAACACGUGGUGUACUGAGGAGUAUUGAUGUGGUGGCGAUAACUGGUUGGUGCUUGCUUAGAGCACAAUUAUAAGAUUGAUAUAAAGGCUACCAGAUGAACAGGUAUCUCAGCUUCUAAACAUUGUGGGUUGACAUUCCAACUGUAGUAUAUAAAUAUUGACAUGAAGAGUUACUUUCUCUUGUUUGUCAUUGGUAUAACCCUGUUGAUGGGACCACACAUUAACUGCAUAGAGCGAUACAAAUGCAAGGACAAGCAAGGCGAUGUGUAUCCACUUGGUAAAGAGCUUUUUAGUCUGGACCCUCCAUACUGCUUGAAAUGCGAAUGCCAAUACAUAUCGCACUCACGUGAUUACGCUUGUGCAUUUGAACCUUGCUAUUACCCAUGG
rnacentral:sRNA from 1 species